GCAGGAAAGGCAAAGCCAAAGGAACAGCAUGACAAAAUGAAGGACACUGUACUGAGGAUGCCUGAGUUCGGUGCAGCAAAGGAGAAACUUCCAGAAUGAUCUUGCUGCCCAUCAUCUCCCUGAAGGGAACGUGCAACCUGGCCUUCUGACCAGCUGCCGUGCUCGAUACCCAAGUGCUGGGAUUGCAGCCGUGCACCACCACACCUGAUAUGUCCCCUUUUAAACUGUUGGUCUCUGUUGUCCACACUUCCUGAUGAACCCACCAUGGUUGGCCUUGGAAUUUCCCACCAAACUUGGCCUCUCCUUCCUGGAAGAUGGGUGGAUGCCUUCUCCUUCCUCUUGCUGGUUUCACGCAUGCGCCUUGGAGGGGACACGUUUCAUCUCUGAGCUGUAGCCCGAGGAUGAUGCACUUGACAGUGGAGGCUGCAAACCAAUCGUUGUGCAGUGGACCUGGGACUAAAGGCUUCAGCCAGCCGGAGCCUUGUGGACAUAAUCUCUUGAUGAGCUUACCAUCCUCAGCAUUUAAUCACCUCCAAAUAGUACCCUGGACAAGGGACUGACCCUUUAACUCAUGAGCCUUCUUAGGGAUCACUUUACAACUAAACCAUACAAGACUCCUCAGAUCAAGACAUCACUCUCAUCUGACUCAGCACCAUGCCUGCCUGCCUGCUGCCAUACUCUGUGCCAUGAUGGUCAUGCUUCUGUCCUGUCACCCCCAGAGGUGAGAAGAGGACCUGCCUCCUCUGAGAAGCCUCCUGGAGCAACAGUCACUGGAGGUUCUCAUUCGUCCCUUGACCAUUGCCAUCUCAGUGAUGAUGUCAGUAGCGGCUCCAGCCUCUCUACUGCCACAGGUCGUCCAUUUCUCCUCAGUAUACAGCAAGGGGCCGGUGCUGGAGAGAGGCAGGCUAUCAAUCCAAGAUGUAUGGAGAGAAAUAGGCUAUCAAACCAAGAUGGAGACAGGAAGACUAUCAAACCGAGAUGGACUGCAUCAUUGUAUCCUUUCUAGGAAAUUUUCUCAGAAGUCUAACUCCAGAAAGACCGGAGUUUCUUGAGGGUGAUACAGGUGGCUGAGAGUCCUUCAGCGAAGGCGCUCUGAAGAUAAGGGAAACUGAGAGAUAUACUAAGGCCCUCCACAGGCCUUCAGGAAAAAAGUAUCACACACACUUCAGAAGCAAGGCCUCUGCUUAGGCCCUUUGUUGGGAAGGCUGAGCUAAGCAGAGAGCACAGAGCAGCCGGGACUGGCUGAGUUGGACUCAAGAGGACUGCAGAACUCCAAGAGCACAGCUUCUUCAAGCUGCUUUGCAAUGGUCAAGCAACCUCUCCUCCCUUUACCUCAGCACCACAAUGACUUUGACUAUUCUGCCCUGGGCAGGUCCCUGCCACCGACAGCUUGUUUAUAGAACCCCUUUGUCAUCAGCAUAUUGUAUAACUUUCUAGAAUGUGUUUGGCUUCACCCCUUCCUCACCUCUUUAGAGCUAUUUCAAAAAUAUUGGGUUUCUUUUUUUUUUUUUUUCCUCCUCCAAAAACUUCAUAGGAAAGAAGGAACUCAAAGAGGUUAGUGCAGAUAACGAGAAAAGCAGGACUAGGUGGGCUGUCACCGUGUCCAAGGAUUAGGAAGACGAAAUGCUUCUUUGUCCCCGUCCUUGCUGUCACAGAGAAACUGUUUCAGGGCAUCCAGAUCAAGGCCAGUGAUGCUGGCGGCAUCGGGCAGGGGGCUCAGUAGCAAUAAUAAAAAUGCUAUAUUACAUACAGUCCCACCUAUAAUCAAAAGUAUUUAUAAGUAACCAGGGAUAUAUUUUCAGAGGACGUGGAGACAUGGCUCAGCAGUUAAGUGUACAUGAUGCUCUCAAGAGGACCAGGGUUAGGUUCCAAGUACCCACCUGGUAGCUCAACCAUCCACAACCCCAGUUGUCAGGGAUCAGAUGCCCUCUUCUGAACUCUGAGGGUACCUGGCAUGCAUGUGUUGACACACAUAUGUGCAGGUAAAGCAU